rnacentral:tRNA from 1 species
GUAGGUAUAGCUCAGUGUUAGAGUGCAUGCUUAGCAUGCGUGAGGUCCUGGCUGCAAUCCCCAGUACCUCCA